UACGUAGGGUGCAGGCGUUAAUCGGAAUUACUGGGCGUAAAGCGCGUGUAGGCGGCUCUUCAAGUCAGGCGCGAAAGCCCUGAGCUCAACUCAGGAACUGCGCUUGAUACUGUCGAGCUAGAGUGUGGAAGGGGCAAUCGGAAUUCCGUGUGUAGCGGUGAAAUGCGUAGAUAUACGGAGGAACACCAGAGGCGAAGGCGGAUUGCUGGGCCAACACUGACGCUGAGACGCGAAAGCCAGGGUAGCAAACGGG
rnacentral:rRNA from 1 species